CCUACGGGUGGCAUCAGUGAGGAAUAUUGGUCAAUGGGCGCGAGCCUGAACCAGCCAAGUAGCGUGAAGGAUGACUGCCCUACGUGUUGUAAACUUCUUUUGUAAAGGAAUAAAGUGAGGCACGUGUGCCUUUUUGUAUGUACUUUAUCAUUAAGGAUCGGCUAACUCCGUGCCCGCAGCCGCGGUAAUACGGAGGAUCUGAGCGUUAUCCGGAUUUAUUGGGUUUAAAGGGAGCGUAGAUGGGUGGUUAAGUCAGUUGUGAAAGUUUGCGUCUAAACCGUAAAAUUGCAAUUGAUACUGGCAGCCGUGAGUACAGUUGAGGGAGGCGGAAUUCGUGGUGGAGCGGUGAAAUGCUUAGAUAUCACGAAGAACUCCGAUUGCGAAGGCAGCUUACUAAACUGCCACUGACAUUGAUGCUCGAAAGUGUGGGUAUCAAACAGGAUUAGAUACCCCAGUAGUC
rnacentral:rRNA from 1 species